UGCUGUGCCGCCGGGCGGCCGUCUGUGGAUUUAUGGUCUGAGGCCGGCAGAGUUUGUGCUCCUGCCUCUGGCACUGCACUGGUGACAGCAAUGCUGUGUGUGUGCCAGCAAGCCUGCAAGGCCAGAGCCUGCAGCACCCUGUGCUCACGUGCUGCAUGUUGUGCAGGGACGUCAUGCCAUAAGCACAGAGACACGAGCUAUGCAAAUCUGCAGUGUGACACAAAACUCCUCUCGGGACUGGGAGCUGACAGUGAUUUCUUUGUCGUUCCCCUGUUGUCAUCUUCCCCACUGCACAUGCAUUUGUUCAUCAUUAGUAAGAUAUUGUUGAUGACUAAAGCCUGGGUCUGUAUCGCAGUCUGCUUGAAGGAGCAAUCCAGAACUGCAGGGCUCAGCUCGUGAGGAGUGAGGACAGUGCAUUUCCUCACAUCUAUGGGACGUGAAGAGUCCCUCCUGACUGACAGCGAAUUGCAUCACUGCUUGUACAGAUAUUUUUCUCUGCAAUGUGCUUGUUGUGUUGUUUUCCUCCAGUGGAAUUUGCCAGCACGUCCCAAGUUGUGUGGUUCUGAAAUGGAGAAGCAACGUACCUGUGUGGGGGAGAGAAUGAGUGGUUUUUGCUUCGUUCAAUCUGGCUCUUCCCUCCCUUCUCCCCACAUCCCCAUGUGUUACAAAGCCAGCUGCUCCCAGAAUAGGUUGGGAAUGAAAUGUCACCGUUUGAAACUGGAGGAUGGCAAAACCCGCUGCAAACUUCAGCUGCCUGCUGGAACAUACCUGCUGCAGCCACAUCCCAGCGCCUUCCCAACAGGACUGGGUCGUAUCUGACAGCGAACCUACAGUGACUCUCUUAAUUAAGUCUCCCUGCACUGCUGUGAGGUAUGUAAUUACAGUGAGACCUGACUUCAGCAACCACAUGAGGGACUAACAACAAAAAAAAACCUCUUUACCAGAGCAAGGAGGAACAGAAUUAUACUGUUGCUUUUUUAUAAAUAUAUAUAUAUACUUCAGGGGAAGUUUAUUAAACCAAAUAUGUCAAUUAGUCUGGUUUCUUCUCAGUGUAUCCCAGUAUUAGGAUGAUACCUUUAAUAUACUGUAUGUUGAUAUAAGCAGCCUAUUUCCUUCCAAAAAGAUCCUUGAGAUUGUUUAUUUUUUUAAAUAGAGAUUUCUGUAAAAAGCAUCAAUUAAUACAAAUGGUGACAGUGGUCUUGUGAGAGGAACUGUUCUUACCAGAAGCUGAGCAGUGGUUCUCACUUCCCAACCCCCGUCCAGGGGUAGAAAUGUUUAAUAAAAGGGUGACAUNNNNNNNNNNNNNNNNNNNN
rnacentral:lncRNA from 1 species